UAAUUUGGGGGUUUUGAAUACCCAUUUAUUUCGAUUAUUAACCAAGUAUAAAGAUAUGAUUUUACUGAGUUUUUAAGGAGUUUUUAACAAAGUAUUAAUGCUGGAAUUUUGUAUAAAGUAGUAUAAUUGUGAUUUUAUAAAAAGAGUUUAAUUACCCAUUAAAGAGAAGUUUAAUUAAGGGUUUUACUAUAAUUUUCAGAUUAUUUUAAGCAGUCUAAAGUGAAUUUAAGUUGCUGGAAAUUGUGUAUACAAGGGUAUUUAAUGUAGUAUUAUUGUCCCUUUAUGUAGGAGACUUGAUUCGGGUUUUGUUGUAGAGUACUAGGCUAUUUUAAGAGCUUAAUUGAGUGGAAACAAGUAGAGAUAAACUUUUCAGGUAUUGAAGCAUGAUCAUGAUGGGGCAUGAGUGAAGAGUGAAUCCUUUUAGUUUUCAUUAGAUUACAAUGUGUUUUAUGCUUUAUUUAUUUAUGAUAUAUUAUGUGUGGACUAACAUAAAAGUUUGAUUUGGGAACGGUUUUUGAAUAAGGGCCUCUAAUGGUUCCAAGUUGUAGUUUGAUUUUAUUUGACUUGUUCGUUUGGUUUUAAACUUUAUUUUCGUUUGGUUGACUUUGGGUUGACUUGUUUAAUCGGUUUUUAAUUUUGAGUCU